GUUCCUGUUGCGCAAUGGAGGGCGCGUUGGACUUUUAAUCCAAAGGUCGUGGGUUCGAAUCCCGCCAGAGAUG